UACAGAGGAUGCAAGCGGUUAUCCGGAAUGAUUGGGCGUAAAGCGUCUGUAGGUGGCUUUUUAAGUCCGCCGUCAAAUCCCAGGGCUCAACUCUGGACAGGCGGUGGAAACUACCAAGCUGGAGUACGGUAGGGGCAGGAGGGGAAUUUCCGGUGGAGCGGUGAAAGUGCGUAGAUAUCGGAAGGAAGCCGGUGGCGAAAGCGACGUGCUGGACCUCUUCUGACGCUGAGGCGCGAAAGCUAGGGGAGCAAACGGG
rnacentral:rRNA from 1 species